rnacentral:rRNA from 1 species
UCCAGAGAUGCUUUGGUGCCUUCGGGAACUGUGAGACAGGUGCUGCAUGGCUGUCGUCAGCUCGUGUUGUGAAAUGUUGGGUUAAGUCCCGCAACGAGCGCAACCCUUAUCCUUUGUUGCCAGCGGUCCGGCCGGGAACUCAAAGGAGACUGCCAGUGAUAAACUGGAGGAAGGUGGGGAUGACGUCAAGUCAUCAUGGCCCUUACGACCAGGGCUACACACGUGCUACAAUGGCAUAUACAAAGAGAAGCGACC